UUCAAAUACAAGGCAGCCCCUCAGGCCACCAUAUUAUUUAGGUUUUGCAUUAUCAUUUAUGGCAGUAUAGAUUAAUU